rnacentral:rRNA from 1 species
UACGUAGGGUGCGAGCGUUAUUCGGAAUUACUGGGCGUAAAGCGUGCGCAGGCGGUUUUGUAAGUCAGAUGUGAAAUCCCCGGGCUUAACCUGGGAAUGGCAUUUGGGACUGCAAGGCUGGAGUUUGGCAGAGGAGACUGGAAUUCCUGGUGUAGCAGUGAAAUGCGUAGAUAUCAGGAGGAACACCAGAGGCGAAGGCGACUUCCUGGACAAUUGCUGACGCUCAGGCACGAAAGCAUGGGGAGCAAAAGGG